rnacentral:misc_RNA from 1 species
AAAAGAUGGGUCCUUCGGGACCCUUCAUCCACAAACCUGCGGAAGUGAGACGUGCUUCGGCGCCUCUUGGCGUCGAGUCUAUGCUGUUUUAGCUUUGUGUCUGAAGAAAAACAAAAUUUAA